UUCUUUUUCUCAAACUAUCAGACCAAGAAACUACAUAUAUCAGCACUUGCUCUGUUUUACCAACUUUCAGACUUUCACAGUUUUAAUGAAUCCAUGUGCCUGAAGGAGGGCCUGCAUGGGAACACACCGGGGACAACCUGGUGACCUGUGAGUGGAAUCAGAACACACCCAAGCGAAUUCCAGCCUCAUCAUAUUACACCAAGCUUUACGCUGACCUGCUGUUCUGCAGCUGUGAAUGUCACUUCACAGAUGUGCCACCACUCUACUUGAGCAGCUGGAGUCACCUGGUAAUGGCAGUAUGGAUAAUUUUGCCUCAGUUAUCCCCCUGAAAUAAUACUGGACUCGGGUCUGGAGCAUGGUCAUGGUAUUCUUUUUGGGAUGGAUAUCACACGACCUUUGUGUAAGAAUUGAAGCCUUUGAUAUCCAAAUAGUGUGAGAGUGGAUGCUGCUGCUCUGUCACUUGAACAAUUGUAGGAAGACAACAGGUCAUGUGACUCCAAAAAAAGAACAGGAAGCUUUCUGUGUCAGCCUGUGGAUGGCUACUGUUCGAGGGGCACAGUAUGGAACUACUGCAUAUACGUUUGCCUGAAGGAGGAUUAACCUGGGACUGUGCUUUGUGAGUUUCUGGGAAAGGUUUUUGAAAACUUUGUGAAGAGUCUCAGAGAGAGUGAAUUGUUUGUUUUUU